rnacentral:rRNA from 1 species
UACGUAGGGUGCGAGCGUUAAUCGGAAUUACUGGGCGUAAAGCGCACGUAGGCGGCUUUGUAAGUUAGAGGUGAAAGCCCGGGGCUCAACCCCGGAAUUGCCUUUAAGACUGCAUCGCUUGAAUCCGGGAGAGGUGAGUGGAAUUCCGAGUGUAGAGGUGAAAUUCGUAGAUAUUCGGAAGAACACCAGUGGCGAAGGCGGCUCACUGGACCGGCAUUGACGCUGAGGUGCGAAAGCGUGGGGAGCAAACAGG